GAAUAUUGGACAAUGGGCGCAAGCCUGAUCCAGCAAUGCCGCGUGGGUGAAGAAGGUCUUCGGAUCGUAAAGCCCUUUCGACAGGGGCGAUGAUGACGGUACCUGUAGAAGAAGCCCCGGCGAACUUCGUGCCAGCAGCCGCGGUAAUACGAAGGGGGCUAGCGUUACUCGGAAUUACUGGGCGUAAAGGGCGCGUAGGCGGCUUGGCCAGUCAGGCGUGAAAUUCCUGGGCUUAACCUGGGGACUGCGCUUGAUACUGCUGAGCUUGAGGCCGAGAGAAGGUGGUGGAAUUCCCAGUGUAGAGGUGAAAUUCGUAGAUAUUGGGAAGAACACCGGUGGCGAAGGCGACCACCUGGCUCGGUACUGACGCUGAGGCGCGACAGCGUGGGGAGCAAACAGG
rnacentral:rRNA from 1 species